rnacentral:rRNA from 1 species
CCUACGGGUGGCUGCAGUGGGGAAUAUUGCACAAUGGGCGCAAGCCUGAUGCAGCCAUGCCGCGUGUGUGAAGAAGGCCUUCGGGUUGUAAAGCACUUUCAGCGGGGAGGAAGGCGGUGAGGUUAAUAACCUCAUCGAUUGACGUUACCCGCAGAAGAAGCAACGGCUAACUCCGUGCCAGCAGCCGCGGUAAUACGGAGGGUGCAAGCGUUAAUCGGAAUUACUGGGCGUAAAGCGCACGCAGGCGGUCUGUCAAGUCGGAUGUGAAAUCCCCGGGCUCAACCUGGGAACUGCAUUCGAAACUGGCAGGCUAGAGUCUUGUAGAGGGGGGUAGAAUUCCAGGUGUAGCGGUGAAAUGCGUAGAGAUCUGGAGGAAUACCGGUGGCGAAGGCGGCCCCCUGGACAAAGACUGACGCUCAGGUGCGAAAGCGUGGGGAGCAAACAGGAUUAGAUACCCUAGUAGUC